rnacentral:lncRNA from 12 species
UAUCCUAGUUUCCACAAAAUUCAGAGUUGUUAAACUUGGGUUGCAAAACCAGGAAAAAUAAACCUCCAGAUGUCCUCUGAAUGCUGAGUUUCCAUGACAUCAUCACCAAAUUCAGGAGACUGCAUUGUAUAAUCUGGCCUCUUUUGUGAUUUUACAGCUAAACUCAGGUCCUCCCACAUGGAUUAAUUAUAUUUGAAAUUGUUAUGCCACAACAGAAGAUUAUAAGAAUAUUUCAGGGGCGCCUGGGUGGCUCAGUCAAUUAAGCAUCUGACUCUUGAUUUUGGCUCAGGUCAUGAUCUCAGGGUAGUGAGUCUGAGGCCCAUGUUGGGCUCUGCACUCAGUGGCAGUCUGCUUGAGAUUCUCUCUUCCUCUGCCCCUCCCCUCCACACUCAUGCUCUCUGUCUCUCUCUCCCUCUAAAAUAAAUAAAUCUUUAAAAAAAGAAGAAGGAAGGAAGGAAGGAAGGAAGGAAGGAAGGAAGGAAGGAAGGAAGGAAGGAAGGAAGGAAGGAAGGAAGGAAGGAAGGGAGAAAGGGAGAAAGGGAGAAAGAGAGAAAGAGAAAGAAAGAAUAUUUCAAAUUGAGAAGAUCCCACAUUGUCUCUUCCAAUUUGUUUCUCAGGUCACUACACGGACCUGGUGAGGAGUUUGGGGUAGACCAGAAACCUCUGUCACCCAAGACCCAUCAAAGCAUGCAGAAACAAAAGAAGAAUGAGUAUAUCCAAUUCUGGGUCUCUGCAAGGCAUCCAUUGGAUUUUUCCAAAUGCAGUAAAUGAUCUUUGGCUUUUCAAGUAGCUGUUGAAGAAUGCUACAUCCAUUAAUUACUAAAGGUACUAGAAAAAGUCCUUAACCAAGAUGUGGAUGGAUAGUUAUUUAGGAAAGCAGAGGCUAGAAAGAGAGCUAUUUAGUAUUAAUGAGAUUAUAGAGUAAUUUGAUUCAUUAUGGCUACUAGCGAAAUUGAACAGAACAAUCAAAGUUCAUUACCAGGCUGAUUCGAGCAGGGAAAGAGUAGAAAUAAUACUGUGUAUAUGACUACCUUCCCCACACCUUCAUUUGAGAUUAUUUUUUUAUUGUUUCUUAUCAGUAAAAAUCAUACUUUUCUUAUUCUCUUUAUUUAACAGACAUUCCAAAAGAAAUCAUUUAUGGUAUGUGUAAUGAAAUCAGAAAACUAUAAUUGCUCAUCUGAACUUAAUAUAAUAUAAGCUAUAAGAAUUUAAAAAACUGGCAUUACCUUAAAAUCUUUUCAAUGACAAAAUGCAAAAAAAAAAAAAAAAAAUCAAGUUAGGUUGCUGUUUACUUUCCAUGGCCAAUACCAUUAAAACAAAAUGCCAAGAAUUCAAUUUAUGUAAA